rnacentral:rRNA from 1 species
CAGCAGCCGCGGUAAUGCGUAGGUGGCAAGCGUUGUCCGGAAUUAUUGGGCGUAAAGGGCUCGCAGGCGGUUUCUUAAGUCUGAUGUGAAAGCCCCCGGCUCAACCGGGGAGGGUCAUUGGAAACUGGGAAACUUGAGUGCAGAAGAGGAGAGUGGAAUUCCACGUGUAGCGGUGAAAUGCGUAGAGAUGUGGAGGAACACCAGUGGCGAAGGCGACUCUCUGGUCUGUAACUGACGCUGAGGAGCGAAAGCGUGGGGAGCGAACAGGAUUAGAUACCCCAGUAGUCCCUGUCUCUUAUAA